GUGCUCGCUUCAGCAGCACAUAUACUAAAAUU
rnacentral:snRNA from 1 species